AAUAAAUUUGUUCUCCGAGCCUGCGAUCCUAAAGGGCAUCCCAGGGACGCGGGCCGAUAGGGUCGGGCGGGAAACGGCCCGGCCUCCCGGACUUGGAAAGGAGACCGAAGAUUUUUUCC
rnacentral:ncRNA from 2 species